rnacentral:rRNA from 1 species
GACGAACGCUGGCGGCGUGCUUAACACAUGCAAGUCGAACGGAAAGGCCCUGCUUUUGUGGGGUGCUCGAGUGGCGAACGGGUGAGUAACACGUGAGUAACCUGCCCUUGACUUUGGGAUAACUUCAGGAAACUGGGGCUAAUAACGGAUAGGAGCACCUGCUGCAUGGUGGGGGUUGGAAAGUUUCGGCGGUUGGGGAUGGACUCGCGGCUUAUCAGCUUGUUGGUGGGGUAGUGGCUUACCAAGGCUUUGACGGGUAGCCGGCCUGAGAGGGUGACCGGCCACAUUGGGACUGAGAUACGGCGCAGACUGCUACGGGAGGCAGCAGUGGGGAAUAUUGCACAGUGGGCGGACGCCUGAUGCAGAAACGCCGCGUGCGGGAUGCCGGCCUUCUGGUUGUAAACCGCUUUCUCCUGUGCCGAAGCGUGCGUGACGGUACUGGGUCAAGAAGCACCGGCUAACUACGUG